rnacentral:rRNA from 1 species
CUUGACGACCAUAGAGCAUUGGCACCACCUGAUCCCAUCCCGAACUCAGCAGUGAAACGAUGCAUCGCCGAUGGUAUUGUGGGGUUUCCCCAUGUGAGAGUAGGUCAUCGUCAAGA